UACGGGGGGGCAAGCGUUGUUCGGAAUUACUGGGCGUAAAGGGCUCGUAGGCGGCCAACUAAGUCAGACGUGAAAUCCCUCGGCUUAACCGGGGAACUGCAUCUGAUACUGGGUGGCUUGAGUUCGGGAGAGGGAUGCGGAAUUCCAGGUGUAGCGGUGAAAUGCGUAGAGUAUCUGGAGGAACACCGGUGGCGAAGGCGG
rnacentral:rRNA from 1 species